rnacentral:rRNA from 1 species
ACGUAGGUGGCAAGCGUUGUCCGGAUUUAUUGGGUUUAAAGGGUGCGUAGGCGGCCCUGUAAGUCAGUGCUGAAAUAUCCCGGCUUAACCGGGAGGGUGGCAUUGAUACUGCAGGGCUUGAGUACAGAUGAGGUAGGCGGAAUUGACGGUGUAGCGGUGAAAUGCAUAGAUAUCGUCAAGAACACCGAUAGCGAAGGCAGCUUACCAAGCUGUAACUGACGCUGAGGCACGAAAGUGUGGGGAUCAAACAGGA